UAUUACACAACGCGGCGUAAAACCACAUUCAUUCACUCUGAUGCAGUUACACAGUUACAGAGAGAGUCAGGUCACUCCACAUGCAGGCUCUUCAGCCUCCCGGCUUGACCCGGGGUGUCCCGCCUCUCUCGACCUCGGGAUGCCGUUGACCUAUUUUGGCGGGGGAACGACUCACUCAGCCGGGAGCGGAUGUCUAUUUAUAGCAGUCAACAUUUCGGCGUGGAACGCGCUGUACGUAAACACGAACAUUGAAGUGCAAACAAUAGCAGAUACAGAUGUGCAGCCACCUCACUUGGGUGGAUGUUGCACGUGGUGUUCCAUCCACCCUGAUAAACUCAAGAAGAUACGAGAGUGGUCUUGGCGGACACUGGAGGGUAACCCGUUCACUCGUCUGUUUGGGUGGGUCGUGAUAUGAAUUGAAUCCAUCUCCUGACCUUGGAUUCACUCGUAGUAUCGACUUUCAUCUGUGAAAAUAUACAAA